UACGUAGGGGGCAAGCGUUGUCCGGAUUUAUUGGGCGUAAAGAGCGUGUAGGCGGCUAGAUAGGUCCGUUGUGAAAACUCGAGGCUCAACCUCGAGACGCCGAUGGAAACCAUCUAGCUAGAGUCCGGAAGAGGAGAGUGGAAUUCCUGGUGUAGCGGUGAAAUGCGCAGAUAUCAGGAGGAACACCGAUAGCGAAGGCAGCUCGCUGGGACGGUACUGACGCUGAGGAGCGAAAGCAUGGGGAGCGAACAGG
rnacentral:rRNA from 1 species